rnacentral:misc_RNA from 1 species
GAAAUGCGAUAAGUAAUGUGAAUUGCAGAAUUCCGUGAAUCAUCGAAUCUUUGAACGCACAUUGCGCCCUCUGGCAUUCCGGGGGGCAUGCCUGUCCGAGCGUCAUUACGCACCCUCAAGCCCGGCUUGUGUGAUGGGCCCUGUCGUCUCGUUCGCGAGACGGGCCCGAAAGGCAGCGGCGGCGUCGACCUGAUGAGCCCGAGCGUAUGGGGACUUUUGUCACACGUUUGCGGUGCGGACCGGCGCCUGCUUGACUUUUCUGAUUAUCCAGGUUGACCUCGGAUCAGGUAGGGAUACCCGCUGAACUUAAGC